GUCCUCCUCCUUGUGUCAUCAUUUUUUUAUAUUGCACAAUGGGUUAAACCCUUAUGCAUCGACGCCGCGUGUGUGAAGAAGCGCCUCGGCGCGUAAAGCCCUGUCAGCAGGGAAGAAAAUGACGGUACCUGAAGAAGAAGCCCCGGCUAACUACGUGCCAGCAGCCGCGGUAAUACGUAGGGGGCAAGCGUUAUCCGGAUUUACUGGGUGUAAAGGGGGCGCAGACGGCGAUGCAAGCCAGGAGUGGAAGCCCGGGGCCCAACCCCGGGACUGCUCUUGGAACUGCGUGGCUAGAGUGCAGGAGG
rnacentral:rRNA from 1 species